AUACAGAGGGUGCGAGCGUUAAGCGGAAUUACUGGGCGUAAAGCGCGCGUAGGCGGCUUGGUCAGUCGGAUGUGAAAGCCCCGGGCUCAACCUGGGAAUGGCAUUCGAUACUGCCAGGCUAGAGUAUGGGAGAGGGAAGUGGAAUUUCCGGUGUAGCGGUGAAAUGCGUAGAUAUCGGAAAGAACACCAGUGGCGAAGGCGACUUCCUGGCCCAAUACUGACGCUGAGGUGCGAAAGCGUGGGGAGCGAACAGGAUUAGAUACCCUAGUAGUCC
rnacentral:rRNA from 1 species